UAUUUUGAAUUUUGUUCUGUAUAUGUUUGUAUUAGUGGUGAUACUUUAAAUUAUGCACUAAUUUGCAGUUGAUUGUAUCCAUUUCAGAAGAGAGUAUAUCGGAGACUUGGAGUGACAUCACGUGCUUGAUAAUAUGCUUCAAUCAGUCUCUUAUCAAGACAUUUGUGUGGUCCUCAAAGAAAAAAUCGGCAGAAAUGGAAUAGAUGGAUCACUUUGAGUGGAUAAGUGGGUGAAAUGAGGAAUAGAAACCCGCAGGCCUGCAUCCCCUUCAAUGGUAUUAGUGAAAAUACAUGGGAGCGGCUGCGAGGAUCACUUGAUGUUCCUCAAUUCAGGUGGUGGCGCUGCAAAAAUUGUAUUCAUGAAGUUGUCCCUUAUACCAGUACUGCUGCUGAGAAAAUAUUGACUGCAGAACAGGCGACUUCUUUGCAUUUAUGUAUUCCUGGGAUGGAAUAAGAGUCUUCACUUGAGGUCAGAGCUGCUGGAGGUAGAUGAAAUCAGUUGUAUCCUGUCUUAUAAUUUCGAUAUCCAUAUUCAGUUAAUUUCCUCCUGAUAUUACUUGCAUCUAACAACUCUACCGCAGUGUCUUAUCUUAAUUGUUAUUUAUCUGAAACGCAAGGUAAUUUCGGACAUAAUCUCUUAGGGGAGAUGCUAUUAAAUCUCUUUUCAAAUCCAUAAACAUGGUUGAUAAUGAUGGCAAAAUGGUUGAUAAUGAUGGCAAAAGAGAAAUCCCUUACAUUUGUGACCUAGAAAUAUUGGCAACGAUACUAGCAGAAAUGGAUUAUGAUCUUCCUCCGCUACAUUCUGAUCUUCCUCCGCUACAGGAAACCUGUCCGAGAUCAAAUGUGGAAGUGGAUUUUUAGUUGAGUGAAGUUAUGUGACUUAAAAUGUGUGCCAAACAAUGAAGGAAAACUCUAAAGAAAUGAGUGAGACAGAGAGAAUAGGAUAAUUAAAAUUUAAAAAGUUAGUUUCACUUCACUUUUUUUGUUGAACUUCAUUUGUCUAUUAUUGACAUUUUCAUAUGCUUAUGUAUAGAUUGACAAGGUCAGUUUAUUUGUGGAAA